GACGAACGCUGGCGGCAGGCUUAACACAUGCAAGUCGAGCGAGACCUUCGGGUCUAGCGGCGGACGGGUGAGUAACGCGUGGGAACGUGCCCUUCUCUACGGAAUAGCCCCGGGAAACUGGGAGUAAUACCGUAUACGCCCUUUGGGGGAAAGAUUUAUCGGAGAAGGAUCGGCCCGCGUUGGAUUAGGUAGUUGGUGGGGUAAUGGCCCACCAAGCCGACGAUCCAUAGCUGGUUUGAGAGGAUGAUCAGCCACACUGGGACUGAGACACGGCCCAGACUCCUACGGGAGGCAGCAGUGGGGAAUCUUAGACAAUGGGGGCAACCCUGAUCUAGCCAUGCCGCGUGAGUGAUGAAGGCCUUAGGGUUGUAAAGCUCUUUCAGCUGGGAAGAUAAUGACGGUACCAGCAGAAGAAGCCCCGGCUAACUCCGUG
rnacentral:rRNA from 1 species